GAUUAAGUUAUUAAGGGCGCACGGUGGAUGCCUUGGCACUAGAAGCCGAUGAAGGACGUUACUAACGACGAUAUGCUUUGGGGAGCUGUAAGUAAGCUUUGAUCCAGAGAUUUCCGAAUGGGGAAACCCAGCAUGAGUUAUGUCAUGUUAUCGAUAUGUGAAUACAUAGCAUAUCAGAAGGCACACCCGGAGAACUGAAACAUCUUAGUACCCGGAGGAAGAGAAAGAAAAUUCGAUUCCCUUAGUAGCGGCGAGCGAAACGGGAAGAGCCCAAACCAACAAGCUUGCUUGUUGGGGUUGUAGGACACUCUAUACGGAGUUACAAAGGACGACAUUAGACGAAUCAUCUGGAAAGAUGAAUCAAAGAAGGUAAUAAUCCUGUAGUCGAAAAUGUUGUCUCUCUUGAGUGGAUCCUGAGUACGACGGAGCACGUGAAAUUCCGUCGGAAUCUGGGAGGACCAUCUCCUAAGGCUAAAUACUCUCUAGUGACCGAUAGUGAACCAGUACCGUGAGGGAAAGGUGAAAAGCACCCCGGAAGGGGAGUGAAAUAGAACCUGAAACCGUGUGCUUACAAGUAGUCAGAGCCCGUUAAUGGGUGAUGGCGUGCCUUUUGUAGAAUGAACCGGCGAGUUACGAUUUGAUGCAAGGUUAAGCAGUAAAUGUGGAGCCGUAGCGAAAGCGAGUCUGAAUAGGGCGUUUAGUAUUUGGUCGUAGACCCGAAACCAGGUGAUCUACCCUUGGUCAGGUUGAAGUUCAGGUAACACUGAAUGGAGGACCGAACCGACUUACGUUGAAAAGUGAGCGGAUGAACUGAGGGUAGCGGAGAAAUUCCAAUCGAACCUGGAGAUAGCUGGUUCUCUCCGAAAUAGCUUUAGGGCUAGCCUCAAGUGAUGAUUAUUGGAGGUAGAGCACUGUUUGGACGAGGGGCCCCUCUCGGGUUACCGAAUUCAGACAAACUCCGAAUGCCAAUUAAUUUAACUUGGGAGUCAGAACAUGGGUGAUAAGGUCCGUGUUCGAAAGGGAAACAGCCCAGACCACCAGCUAAGGUCCCAAAAUAUAUGUUAAGUGGAAAAGGAUGUGGCGUUGCCCAGACAACUAGGAUGUUGGCUUAGAAGCAGCCAUCAUUUAAAGAGUGCGUAAUAGCUCACUAGUCGAGUGACACUGCGCCGAAAAUGUACCGGGGCUAAACAUAUUACCGAAGCUGUGGAUUGUCCUUUGGACAAUGGUAGGAGAGCGUUCUAAGGGCGUUGAAGCAUGAUCGUAAGGACAUGUGGAGCGCUUAGAAGUGAGAAUGCCGGUGUGAGUAGCGAAAGACGGGUGAGAAUCCCGUCCACCGAUUGACUAAGGUUUCCAGAGGAAGGCUCGUCCGCUCUGGGUUAGUCGGGUCCUAAGCUGAGGCCGACAGGCGUAGGCGAUGGAUAACAGGUUGAUAUUCCUGUACCACCUAUAAUCGUUUUAAUCGAUGGGGGGACGCAGUAGGAUAGGCGAAGCGUGCGAUUGGAUUGCACGUCUAAGCAGUAAGGCUGAGUAUUAGGCAAAUCCGGUACUCGUUAAGGCUGAGCUGUGAUGGGGAGAAGACAUUGUGUCUUCGAGUCGUUGAUUUCACACUGCCGAGAAAAGCCUCU
rnacentral:rRNA from 1 species